GCUGGGCGUGGUGGUGCAUGCCUGUAAUCCCCGCUACUCGGGAGGCUGAGGUGGGAUAAUCGCUUGAACCCAGGAGGCAGAGGUUGCAGUGCGCUGAGAUCAUGCCACUGUACUUUGGCCUGGGAGACAGAGUGAGACUCCAUCUCAA
ensembl:misc_RNA Metazoa_SRP Metazoan signal recognition particle RNA